rnacentral:rRNA from 1 species
GAAGGUGUGCUGUGAGGCAUGCUGGAGGUAUCAGAAGUGCGAAUGCUGACAUAAGUAACGAUAAAGCGGGUGAAAAGCCCGCUCGCCGGAAGACCAAGGGUUCCUGUCCAACGUUAAUCGGGGCAGGGUGAGUCGACCCCUAAGGCGAGGCCGAAAGGCGUAGUCGAUGGGAAACAGGUUAAUAUUCCUGUACUUGGUGUUACUGCGAAGGGGGGACGGAGAAGGCUAUGUUGGCCGGGCGACGGUUGUCCCGGUUUAAGCGUGUAGGCUGGUUUUCCAGGCAAAUCCGGAAAAUCAAGGCUGAGGCGUGAUGACGAGGCACUACGGUGCUGAAGCAACAAAUGCCCUGCUUCCAGGAAAAGCCUCUAAGCAUCAGGUAACAUCAAAUCGUACCCCAAACCGACACAGGUGGUCAGGUAGAGAAUACCAAGGCGCUUGAGAGAACUCGGGUGAAGGAACUAGGCAAAAUGGUGCCGUAACUUCGGGAGAAGGCACGCUGAUAUGUAGGUGAAGCGACUUGCUCGUGGAGCUGAAAUCAGUCGAAGAUACCAGCUGGCUGCAACUGUUUAUUAAAAACACAGCACUGUGCAAACACGAAAGUGGACGUAUACGGUGUGACGCCUGCCCGGUGCCGGAAGGUUAAUUGAUGGGGUUAGCGGUAACGCGAAGCUCUUGAUCGAAGCCCCGGUAAACGGCGGCCGUAACUAUAACGGUCCUAAGGUAGCGAAAUUCCUUGUCGGGUAAGUUCCGACCUGCACGAAUGGCGUAAUGAUGGCCAGGCUGUCUCCACCCGAGACUCAGUGAAAUUGAACUCGCUGUGAAGAUGCAGUGUACCCGCGGCAAGACGGAAAGACCCCGUGAACCUUUACUAUAGCUUGACACUGAACAUUGAGCCUUGAUGUGUAGGAUAGGUGGGAGGCUUGGAAGUGUGGACGCCAGUCUGCAUGGAGCCGACCUUGAAAUACCACCCUUUAAUGUUUGAUGUUCUAACGUUGACCCGUAAUCCGGGUUGCGGACAGUGUCUGGUGGGUAGUUUGACUGGGGCGGUCUCCUCCUAAAGAGUAACGGAGGAGCACGAAGGUUGGCUAAUCCUGGUCGGACAUCAGGAGGUUAGUGCAAUGGCAUAAGCCAGCUUGACUGCGAGCGUGACGGCGCGAGCAGGUGCGAAAGCAGGUCAUAGUGAUCCGGUGGUUCUGAAUGGAAGGGCCAUCGCUCAACGGAUAAAAGGUACUCCGGGGAUAACAGGCUGAUACCGCCCAAGAGUUCAUAUCGACGGCGGUGUUUGGCACCUCGAUGUCGGCUCAUCACAUCCUGGGGCUGAAGUAGGUCCCAAGGGUAUGGCUGUUCGCCAUUUAAAGUGGUACGCGAGCUGGGUUUAGAACGUCGUGAGACAGUUCGGUCCCUAUCUGCCGUGGGCGCUGGAGAACUGAGGGGGGCUGCUCCUAGUACGAGAGGACCGGAGUGGACGCAUCACUGGUGUUCGGGUUGUCAUGCCAAUGGCACUGCCCGGUAGCUAAAUGCGGAAGAGAUAAGUGCUGAAAGCAUCUAAGCACGAAACUUGCCCCGAGAUGAGUUCUCCCUGACUCCUUGAGAGUCCUGAAGGAACGUUGAAGACGACGACGUUGAUAGGCCGGGUGUGUAAGCGCAGCGAUGCGUUGAGCUAACCGGUACUAAUGAACCGUGAGGCUUAACCUU